rnacentral:lncRNA from 1 species
UGACUUUUGUAAUGGAUAUUAAUGUAAUAUAUAUUUCAAACUUUAUUUUUAUUUAAAUUUUUUAUUUUAAUAUGAUUAACUCAAAAUUAAAAAUAAAAAAUAUAUUAAUUAUUCAGAGAUCAGAAACACUCAGAGAUCCCCUGUUAUUAUUCGGGGAGGGAAUGAAGAUUCUGUUAAAUAAUUUUGAUAUGGAUGGAGGAGGGACAGGGACAUACGCAAAAUAUCGAAAAUGGGUACGGGGAGAUUAGUCCCCUCCCCUCCCCUCCCCAUUGCCAUCCCUAGUUCUAGCGGGGAUCAAGUUGGCCAAAGAUUCUGGAUUCUUGCUUCUUGGAUAUUAGGGAACUCACAGCUGAGUCAAAUCAAUUUCGUAUCAAACUUUUUCCAAGAAAUUGUUACAGAGUAACCCAUGCUAUGGCAAAAUUAGAUUUUUCAUAUUCUGAUUACCAAGUUUAGUUGGGAGAUCCCCGAUGAAAUUGUAUACUUGUUGUAACAAUCUCUGGUUCGGUUUAAUAUAUUUUCUCCAUUAUUAAAAAAAAUAGAAGAAAAAACUUGCUAAUAUGAUUGAGUAUAGAUUUAGUACUCAUCUUUUAUCAAUUGACUUCUUGUUCAGUGUUGUUACAAACAAAUAAGCUGCUGUUCUUUGUGUUUGCUGCUGCUAAUACUCUCUGUUUCAGCUUAUGAUCUUCGGUUUCUUAAUGUCUUCUUGGAUACUGGACUUCUUUUUCGGCUAUUGGCUUUUUGACUUCUUUAUGGCUUCUUGCUUGACCUCCAACUUGCUCUGCUUUCUUCUUUGUUGCUCAGCUUCCAUAUUCCCCUUUUGCCUUUUUCCUUUUUCCUUUUUCCUUUUUCCUUUUCUUACCCCCG